UGGGCCUAUCGUCUAAUGGAUAAGACAUUAACCUUCUAAGUUAUGGAUGAAGGUUCGAUUCCUUCUAGGCUCAU
rnacentral:tRNA from 1 species